rnacentral:rRNA from 2 species
GACGAACGCUGGCGGCGUGGAUUAGGCAUGCAAGUCGAACGGUAGAGAUCUUUCGGGAUCUUGAGAGUGGCGAACGGGUGAGUAACGCGUAGGUUAUCUACCCUCAAAUUGGGGACAACCCAGGGAAACUUGGGCUAAUACCGAAUGAGAGCAUCUUUCGGGAUGUUUAAAAGAUGGCAGUAAUGCUGUUGUUUGAGGAUGAGCCUGCGUCCCAUUAGUUAGUUGGUAAGGUAAUGGCUUACCAAGGCGAUGAUAGGUAGGCGGCCUUAACGGGUGGUCGCCCACACUGGGAUUGAGAUACGGCCCAGACUCCUACGGGAGGCAGCAGUCGAGAAUAGUCUACAAUGGCCGAAAGGCUGAUAGUGCGACGCCGCGUGAACGAAGAAGCCCUUCGGGGUGUAAAGUUCUUUUAUAUGUGAGCAAUGCUUUUUAUGUGAAUAGCAUGGGAAGAGAGAUAUUAGCAUAUGAAUAAGCAACGGCUAACUCCGUGCCAGCAGCCGCGGUAACACGGGGGUUGCAAGCGUUGUCCGGAAUUACUAGGCGUAAAGGGCAGGUAGGCGGAUAGAUAAGUUUUUUGUCAAAGGCAACGGCUCACCCGUUGUACGGCAGGAGAUACUGUUUAUCUGGAAUGCGGUUGGGGAAGACAGAAUUCCUGGUGUAGCGGUGGAAUGCGCAGAGAUCAGGAGGAAUACCAAAGGCGAAGGCAGUCUUCUAAGCCGUUAUUGACGCUAAACUGCGAAGGUGUGGGUAUCAAACA